rnacentral:rRNA from 1 species
AUUGAACGCUGGCGGCAUGCUUUACACAUGCAAGUCGAACGGUAACAGGUUAAGCUGACGAGUGGCGAACGGGUGAGUAAUGCAUCGGAACGUGCCCGAUCGUGGGGGAUAACGCAGCGAAAGCUGCGCUAAUACCGCAUACGAUCUGAGGAUGAAAGCGGGGGACCGUAAGGCCUCGCGCGAUCGGAGCGGCCGAUGGCAGAUUGGGUAGUUGGUGGGGUAAAGGCCCACCAAGCCGGCGAUCUGUAGCUGGUCUGAGAGGACGACCAGCCACACUGGGACUGGUACACGGCCCAGACUCCUACGGGAGGCAGCAGUGGGGAAUUUUGGACAAUGGGCGAAAGCCUGAUCCAGCAAUUCCGCGUGCAGGAAGAAGGCCUUCGGGUUGUAAACUGCUUUUGUACGGAGCGAAAAGGUCCUUUCUAAUACAGGGGGCUCAUGACGGUACCGUAAGAAUAAGCACCGGCUAACUACGUGCCAGCCGCCGCAGUAA